rnacentral:rRNA from 1 species
CACGGUAUGCCUUAGUACGGCGAGUGAAGCGGCAAAAGCUCAAAUUUGAAAUCUGGUACCUUCGGUGCCCGAGUUGUAAUUUGGAGAGGGCAACUUUGGGGCCGUUCCUUGUCUAUGUUCCUUGGAACAGGACGUCAUAGAGGGUGAGAAUCCCGUGUGGCGAGGAGUGCGGUUCUUUGUAAAGUGCCUUCGAAGAGUCGAGUUGUUUGGGAAUGCAGCUCUAAGUGGGUGGUAAAUUCCAUCUAAAGCUAAAUAUUGGCGAGAGACCGAUAGCGAACAAGUACAGUGAUGGAAAGAUGAAAAGAACUUUGAAAAGAGAGUGAAAAAGUACGUGAAAUUGUUGAAAGGGAAGGGCAUUUGAUCAGACAUGGUGUUUUGUGCCCUCUGCUCCUUGUGGGUAGGGGAAUCUCGCAUUUCACUGGGCCAGCAUCAUUUUUGGUGGCAGGAUAAAUCCAUAGGAAUGUAGCUUGCCUCGGUAAGUAUUAUAGCCUGUGGGAAUACUGCCAGCUGGGACUGAGGACUGCGACGUAAGUCAAGGAUGCUGGCAUAAUGGUUAUAUGCCGCCCGUCUUGACACCAGGAACCCCCCCCC